ACACCGGCAGCUCUAGUGGUAGCUGUUUUUAUUGGGCCUAAAGCGUUCGUAGCCGGUUUGGUAAGUCGCUGGUGAAAUCCUGUAGCUUAACUGUGGGAAUUGCUGGUGAUACUGUUGAACUUGAGGUCGGGAGAGGUUAGCGGUACUCCCAGGGUAGAGGUGAAAUUCUGUAAUCCUGGGAGGACCACCUGUGGCGAAGGCGGCUAACUGGAACGACCCUGCCGGAGAGGGACAAAAGCGAGGGGCGUGACCCGGAUUAGAUCCGCGGGUAGUCCUAGCCGUAAACGAUGCGGACUUGGUGUUGGGAUGGCUGGCU
rnacentral:rRNA from 1 species